rnacentral:rRNA from 1 species
CUACGGGGCGCAGCAGUGGGGAAUUUUGGACAAUGGGCGCAAGCCUGAUCCAGCCAUUCCGCGUGAGUGAAGAAGGCCUUCGGGUUGUAAAGCUCUUUCGCAAGGGAAGAAAACUUACUUUCUAAUAAAGAGUGAGGUUGACGGUACCUUGAUAAGAAGCACCGGCUAACUACGUGCCAGCAGCCGCGGUAAUACGUAGGGUGCGAGCGUUAAUCGGAAUUACUGGGCGUAAAGCGUGCGCAGGCGGUUUUGUAAGUCAGAUGUGAAAUCCCCGAGCUCAACUUGGGAACUGCGUUUGAAACUACAAGACUAGAAUAUGUCAGAGGGGGGUAGAAUUCCACGUGUAGCAGUGAAAUGCGUAGAGAUGUGGAGGAAUACCAAUGGCGAAGGCAGCCCCCUGGGAUAAUAUUGACGCUCAUGCACGAAAGCGUGGGGAGCAAACAGGAUUAGAUACCCGAGUAGUC